GCCAGACUCCUACGGGAGGCAGCAGUAGGGAAUAUUGCACAAUGGGGGAAACCCUGAUGCAGCGACGCCGCGUGAGUGAAGAAGUAUUUCGGUAUGUAAAGCUCUAUCAGCAGGGAAGAUAAUGACGGUACCUGACUAAGAAGCCCCGGCUAACUACGUGCCAGCAGCCGCGGUAAUACGUAGGGGGCAAGCGUUAUCCGGAUUUACUGGGUGUAAAGGGUGCGCAGGUGGCAGGGCAAGUCAGAUGUGAAAGCCCGGGGCUCAACCCCGGUAUUGCAUUUGAAACUGUCCGGCUAGAGUGCAGGAGAGGUAAGCGGAAUUCCUAGUGUAGCGGUGAAAUGCGUAGAUAUUAGGAGGAACACCAGUGGCGAAGGCGGCUUACUGGACUGUAACUGACACUGAGGCACGAAAGCGUGGGGAGCAAACAGGAUUAGAUACCCCGGUA
rnacentral:rRNA from 1 species